AACGAACGCUGGCGGGCGUGCUUAACACAUGCAAAGUCGAGCGGGUAAGGCCCUUUCGGGGGUACACGAGCGGCGGAACGGGUGAGUAACACGUAGGGUCGACCUGCCCUCAGCUCUGGGAUAAGCCUGGGAAACCGGGUCUAAUACCGGAUAUGACUCCAUGACGCAUGUUGUGGGGUGGAAAGCCUUGUGCGGCUGAGGAU
rnacentral:rRNA from 1 species